UCUCUCUCUCUCUCUCUCUCUCUCUCUCUCUCUCUCUCUCUCUCUCCCUCUGUGACCUGAAACAGGAUCGUACCUUGGAACCAUCGUCGUACAAGUGUAUGCGUGCGAGUGAGAGUCGUCCUAGGCCGGCAUGUACACAUAGCAGAAGAACGAACUGCCGCUAGGCCGCGUCCAAGUCCGUCCGUAUACGGCACUCGAGGAUCUCCCCAGCUCGAACGUCACACCGGCACGACUAUUCUCCACUCACCGGAUUCGGCGAGGAGGACGUAUUCGGGAAAACGGGUUCGUGUUCCCUUAACAGCGGUAACGUACAGUGAGUGGCACACGACAUGUACGAACACAUCAUCAUAUACGUCACGUCCCCACGGGCCGUCCGAUCACCAGCCAUCACGCCGGUGGUGAGGCCGGGUCUGUUGCGCACGCGCACAGGUUCUUGCGGAAAGGGGGGCCGAGUGUGCUGUCACCACUUAGGUGGUAGGCGAGCAGUGUGCCACGCACGGAGUGAAGAGAGGGAACGUCCCCUCUUAGGAGACGAGGCGCCGCUGCUCGAGGCCGCCAAACCCCCACCGCAACGCGCGCGCGUACGUCGUCUACCGGUGGUGGCAGUGCGACGACGAGCCCCGUCGGAGCAGGGGGCCACUACCGCGGCGCGCCCUGCCGCAGGUCACGAGGGCGUACAACGGAUCCUCCUCCGUCGUCUCCGGCGCCACCCACGAGACGAGCGAGUUCAUGCCGACGGAGCCGCAGCCGCUCGGCCCCCUCCGCCCUUGGGCCUCGCGCCGCAGCGGCCAGAUGAGGUCGGAGUGGCAGUCGGGGCCGCCGCUCCGCCGGCAGCGGCAGCAGAGGAGCCUCGUCUUCCACAUGCUGCACCACGACUUCGUCCGCCGUAACGAGUUCGCGGUCGAGGCCGGUGUCGUCCGCCGCGGCGGGCGGCAUCGGUCCCUCGACCUGCGCGGCGCGCCACCCGAGCCCUUCCGGAUGCGGGCGACGCCGCUCUAGACGCUCCUCAUGCGGUUCUGGAAGAUGGAGCCCUGGAACGACUACUGUCUCCUCGCCGCUGCGCGGUAUACCCGGUAGAUGCACACCACGUCCUCCUGUCUGCUCGACCACCUGCCAGGGUUGCGCAGCGUGUAGUGCGGCGUCCGCGACCUGGCCACCCUCUCCUCCGACCUCCUGGAGAAGCGGCCCGCGGGGAUGCUGUACGAGCUGCGGCGCGAGAGGCUGUGGUAGUGGUUCAAGGGGUAUCUAUAAGUCGGGAAGUUCCUGUACUAGCUGCCCUACGCCUGCCUGGAGUUCUUCCGUUCUAUGUUCUUGAAGCUACUCGAGAUGUACAUGACGAUGAUGCAGCGUCCGUGCCACCCCGACUACUCGCAGGGCCACUACCCGUAACGCGGGCUCAGGUUCCGCUGCCGACUCUCGCAGAUGCCGCGGCGAGACCGAGAGCCCAACCGCUUGGUCGAGUGGUUGUAUGAGUCCCUACAGCCUCUUCUACGUUCUUCUCCUUCCUAUAUAAACGGCGUUCUGCUCGAGCGCCUCCGUCCCGAGAGGCUACUUCUGUAGCAGUUUCCUCAGCAGUGACUGUUCACCUCCUUUAAGUACUUCUCCGUCUAGUUCUCCCGUUCCUACAAGAAGCUCCUCCGUCUCGCUCCCCACUGGCUCGAGUCCUUCCUCUCGGCCACCGGCCAAACCCGGAGAGACAACAACAUGGCCGUCUAGGAGCUACUCUAGCUUCGCUUGCUGAUGUUGUUGAAGUGGUUCUCCCGGAUACAACCUUUCCGCUUCUUUCACAACCGCGAGGGACAGCGUAUGCCCUUUAGCGACGAGAAUGGCAGAAGUGACUCUUUAUUGGUCUGGAUCUUCUUUGUUGUUUCGUUCUACUUCUACCAGUCCAAUCCUAUCUAUCUUGCUUUUUCCCGUCACAACGCUGUAGACGGAACCUCGAGAAGUAGGUCAAUCAACCGGUUCGUUGUUACGCCACUUAGCUAGCCAUGUAAGGAGUCGCUAGUUACAACGUACGUAUUGUACUUCAAGACCCCUUCCUUCCCUCUUCUUGUGACGUCGGUUGGCUCUACCUCUGGUUUACAAACGUACAUAUAAUAAUAAGAUCUUGUACACGUAAACUUCUGUCUUGUUGUACAUAUAUAUAUGAGCAACAGCCAGGGCUUAAGCCCUUUGUACAUACAAUAAGACAUUCGCAUAUAUAAGCUUGUUAUACCAAACCUUACGUUUUGACUCUUUUAUGCUGCGACAAAGAUUUGAAAUCUUCCUGUACGGCAAGUUCC
rnacentral:rRNA from 1 species